rnacentral:misc_RNA from 1 species
ACCUACUGCUCGACCACCAGUCCGGCAGUCCCCCACGCCAGUACGCCACGCUCCCAUCGCCAUCACCCAGGACCCCGUGCUGCCUGGUGCCUGGACUCCAAGAACCCGCCCUCGAGGCCCAAGCACCGCUUCUCCCCCUCUCACUGUCACUGGUCACCACACGCCACACUACAGAGUCCAGAUCACGGCCACCGCGAUGGCUGCUUAGUGCGUCCGCGGCAGCUGGAGCCUGGAGAAUGGGCUGCUGCUUCAGCAAGAACCCGAGGACCCGCCCGGUGGCCGGAGCCUCUGACUUCCCGCGCCGGUGCGGACCCGAGGACCGCGACCCGCCGUCGCCGGAGGAGGAAACGGUCAAGGAGGUACUCUCGGAGACACCGAGCGCUAAACCCAGGGCCAAUCCCAAGCUCGUCGGCAAUGCCGUCGUCCCCGCCGCCGCGGACGAGCGGAAAGCGGAGAAGGCGAAGAAGCAGGACAGCGUCGAUGCCGCGGCGAGCGACGUCGGCAGCUGCGUGUCGCUCUCACUCGCCACCGACGAACGGUCCGAGGCGGCGUCGGAGUCGUCGGUCGCGACCAGCUCGGUGGCCGGGCCGGAGCGCUCACCAAGGACGAAACCGGCCAGGAGGCGCCCAGCGUCCGCCGAUCUGGGGCCAGCGCGGCGCGAGCGGGACCGCGCCGUCGCGGCCUCCUACGGCGUCCGCUCCCGCAGCGCGCGGGCGUCGGCGUCCCCGCCGCCGAGGCACGUGCCGCGGGACCGCUCCGUCCGGCGUUCGCCCUCGCCGGCAGCGAAGCGGCGGGCGUCGUCUGAGCCCCGCCGCGCCGCCAGCCCAACUCCGUCCGUGCAGCGCAAGCCGCCUGUCCCGGCAAGGCCGGCCGGCCGCGUCUCGCCGCGGCGGCGGGCACAAGAAGCGACUCCUCGUCCCGCCUCCCCGCCGCCGCCCUCGCAGCUGGAAGACGACGCCGUCACCGCGGCAAGUGAGCCCAGCAUCCCCGACGGUAGCGACGGUGGCGAUGUUCAAAGUGGCCGCGGCGGCGACGACGGCAAAGAGUCGUUGGAGAACCCGCUGGUGUCAUUGGAAUGUUUCAUCUUUCUGUAGCGCUGUGCUGAUGCAGUGAUGUUGUAAUCUCGCGCUAUUUUCCUUCGAAAGUAUUGGGCUAAUGAUCCACUUUAGAUGCUGGUGCUGUGGUGCAGCAGUCAGUUGUUUGUACUGCCGCUGCCACCUUCCGUUAACUUUGUCAAGUCCAAGAGAAAUGCCAGUAGCUUUUGGCUUUUCAGAGGCGUGCGGUGUGCCUGACAAUGUUCUUUGGCUUUAAACAUCUACUCUCUCCGUUUCUUUUUAUUAGUCGCUGGAUAGUGCAAUUUUACACUAUCCAGCGAC